rnacentral:rRNA from 1 species
CUCUGUGACUCCACGGGAGGCAGCAGUGGGGAAUAUUGCACAAUGGGGGAAACCCUGAUGCAGCCAUGCCGCGUGUGUGAAGAAGGCCUUCGGGUUGUAAAGCACUUUCAGUAGGGAGGAAGGUAGUGUAGUUAACACCUGCAUUAUUUGACGUUACCUACAGAAGAAGCACCGGCUAACUCCGUGCCAGCAGCCGCGGUAAUACGGAGGGUGCGAGCGUUAAUCGGAAUUACUGGGCGUAAAGCGCAUGCAGGCGGCCUGUUAAGUCAGAUGUGAAAGCCCGGGGCUUAACCUCGGAAUUGCAUUUGAAACUGGCAGGCUAGAGUCUUGUAGAGGGGGUAGAAUUUCAGGUGUAGCGGUGAAAUGCGUAGAGAUCUGAAGGAAUACCAGUGGCGAAGGCGGCCCCCUGGACAAAGACUGACGCUCAGAUGCGAAAGCGUGGGGAGCAAACAGGAUUAGAUACCCUGGUAG